rnacentral:lncRNA from 1 species
GGACAUGGCAUGGAACGUGUGUGCGGAAAAGUUCGAACAUCAAGUGACCCUUGAAGCGCUACAACACUUAAAUGCACUCUUUCAGGAGUAUGAGAAAAGAGGAAGACAGCUGUUGGAUAUGGAGACUUUCAAAUGCAUAAUGAAGCAGAGCAUGAGGUUACAGAAUAAAAGUACUGAACAAAUAGAACAACUUUUCAUGAAAAUAGACUAUGAAGCAGUGGGCAGAAUUCAUUGGGAUGGCUUCUGCACAUAUCUGCAGUUAGCAUAUUCAGAGCAAGCUGAUGCUUUGGCUCGACAGAAAGAGGUUUCCUUCCAGCUGCCUGCUGUGCUGCAGGGACUGUCGUACGGGGGACCCGUGCUGCGCAUUCUCUCUGUGCCUGAUGACACCUUAAUCAUGAUCAGAGAAGAUGGAGCCAUUUAUUUCUGGUCCCUGCAGCUGAAGUUGAAAAGAAGAAAGCGAGUUUUUGACAAGCCCAUCAUUCGGAAGCGCCGGUGGGUGACGGAUGCCACCAGCAUGCCACAGUACAACAAACUGAUCCUAGGAACUGGAAACCGUGAAAUCCAGCUGUAUGAGUUCUCUAACUUGGAGCCUUACUGUCAGAUUGGUGGCCUGGAAGCUGUCCCUCUGAAACUGGACUACUGGUACGAGGAUCCUGACAAGUGCCUGAUUCUCUAUGGUGAUGACCAGGCUGAAAAAAAACUUAAAAUGAAGGUAGCCUUAAAGAGUUCAUGUUGCCAUCUAGCAAAGUGAUGAGUUGUGCUCCAGAGGGAAAUAAGUUCAGAAGCAUUGGCUGUGCCUGUCUCACCUAACAUCGCCUCACCAUCCUUCAUCGGCUUUCAGAGUCUUCACGGUUUGGAAUCAGGGAUGAGCAUAAGGGAAGCUACAUUGGCAACAUGGCGACAAAAGCAAGGGAAACUCAGUUCAUCAUCAUCAUAUCACAAAGGCUGUCUCCACGAGCGACUUUCCUUGGGCUUCUUCUUUUGUUGCAUCUAGCCCAGGCUUGUGCACUUGAAGAUCAUUUGAUAAUAUUCAUCAGUGUUAUGUUCAGCAUGCUAACCGGUUUCUUAAGAAGGGCAGUA